rnacentral:rRNA from 1 species
AUUUAUGGCCAUACCACUCUGGAUGUGCCCUAUCUUGUCUGAUCUCAGAAGCAAAGCCAGGUUAGCUUGGUUAAGAAAACCUUAUGCAGCUUCAGGAAUCUGUGUUGUCUUAAAAU